rnacentral:rRNA from 1 species
GACGAACGCUGGCGGCGUGCCUAAUACAUGCAAGUAGGACGCAGUUGCGAACGGGUGAGUAACGCGUAGGUAAAUGCCUAUUAGAGGGGGAUAACUAUUGGAAACGAUAGCUAAUACCGCCUACUAGUAGAUGGAACUGCGUUGUAUUAGAUAGUAGGUAGGGUAAUGGGCUACCUAGGCGACGAUACAUAGCCGACCUGGGAGGGUGAUCGACCAAACUGGGACUGAGACACGGGCCAGACUCCUACGGGAGGCAGCAGGAGGGAAUAUUCGGAAAUGGGGGGAAUCCUGACCGAGCAACGCCGCGUGAGUGAAGAAGGUUUUUGGAUCGUAAAGCUCUGUUGUUAAGGAAGCGGUACUUAAACAGAAAGGGACGGCUAACUACGUGCCAGCAGCCGCGGUAAUUC